rnacentral:rRNA from 1 species
CGUGGAGAACCUGCCGUAUACUGGGGGAUAACACUUAGAAAUAGGUGCUAAUACCGCAUAAGCGCACAGCUUCGCAUGAAGCAGUGUGGAAAACAAAAAGCUAAAGCUUUUGGUGGUAUACGAUGGAUCCGCGUCUGAUUAGCUAGUUGGCGGGGUAAAGGCCCACCAAGGCGACGAUCAGUAGCCGGCCUGAGAGGGUGAACGGCCACAUUGGGACUGAGACACGGCCCAGACUCCUACGGAAGGCAGCAG